rnacentral:tRNA from 1 species
GUGGCCGAGUAGGUGGCAGGUUGUAGCCCUGUGCAGGCGGGUUAAAUCCCGUCCUUAUCAA